CUCUCACACACACACACACACACUCGCACACACGCACACGCACAAAAGAAACACAUGUAAAUUAUUGAAAAGAAACUGCUCAGGAGGAUGAUAAUCGAAAAGGAAACUCCAGCAUACAAAGCCAAAUAUGUUAUCAAGUUCUUGAUGAAACCAUGGAAUGGCCUUGAUUCAAGAAACAAAGUAAACAGGUAUUAUUAUUUAAAUUAUUUCAGUAUUGUAAAAUUUUCAAUCACAUAUUCUAUAUGCAGGUCGUUAAUAAGACUCAGAACUGUUUGAAGGUUAUCAAUGGAUAAUGAGUUUAUUAGGCAGUAGCCAGAAGCUUACAAUUUCAGUUCAUGAAUAUUUUCAUCUGAUCACAGAAAUGAUAUGCAAACAAAUUUCCAAGGACAGAUUGAUAGGAGUUGAGAAUUUUGGUUUCCCAGGAAGUUAUUUGGUGUUCCAGAUUUUCAGCGACUUAGAUAUCACUUUCACUCAGAUUUUUCCAAGAGGCUAGUCAUCUUUUGGAUAAAUAAAUAAACAAGUUCAAUGAUUUUACUUUAUGCAUCUUGUACGUCUUAUACAUGGGAGUUCAGAUGAAGCUUCUCAGAACAGAAUGAUAGAGGGAACAUCUCAUCAGAACUGGCUACCAACCCUUCCAACCCUACAAAGUACUUUCUGAAGAAAACUUGUAUGACUAAGCACUAGAACCAUCAAUUAGAUGGCUCACAUAGAGAAUUAACUAAGUGAAUCUAUUUUGCAGUUCCAUCAUCCAGGAGUGGCAAUAAACCUGGUUUGAGAUUGAGAUAAAGCAUACUAUUUGCCAAACAACUAAUCCAUACUGAGGCACAUGCCGAGUUUGAGUGGUUCCCUGAUAUUUGAACUUUUUAAUUAUCAUUUGUACAGAUGCAAAAUGAUGGCGACUUCCAAAAAAUUCAAGAUUU
rnacentral:misc_RNA from 1 species